CUGUGCCAUGAGGAGGAUGCCGCCGCGUUGAUGAGCCAUCAGUGACGAACUGGUGCAUAAAGUUGCUUUGUAGUAGGCAAUGAAGAGGCUCGGUGUAAAGGUAAUACAUUUAGUGAAGUAGUUUUAAAUUGACACGGAAUAAAACAAUCCACUGCAGGCAGAGUGAGUACGUGCUAGCAGCAACAACAUACACUUCUUCUUCUCCUCCCAGGAACCGUAUGCCCCAAAUAUGCCAUCUAGUGGCGCAGAAUACAAUAAGGUUUUGUAUAAUUAAAUCUGCGCCAGUGUAGAGUAUCCAGCACAAUAAUUUUAACAUUAGGUAAUUUUGGCAUAUUCGGCAACGCUUAUUUUUCUUUUCUUUUAUCUCAAAGGCGAGAGAGCAGCCUGCGAGUCCUCAGUAGAACAUGUUUUCUACGCAGGAUCUGAUAUCACCAAGGAUGAACGUUUUAGCCGGCCAAUCAGAAGUCAGCAGCAAGAGAAGAGCCCGCCUACUCAUGAAGUCGUACACACCCAUUGACUCUAUUUACUCUCAAUGCGUACACCUGAAGGUCCAGCGAGUGGGGUUGGUAUCAGUGUGGUAAGUUUAUUCUCAAGUUUGGGCUUUAUAUGACAGUAGGCGUUUCAUUUCAAACCAUCUACGAGUGCAGAUAUGUCUUAUGAGCAGAAAAGACUCGUGUUAUUACGGUGCCAAUGUAUUUUCUUUCGUAAAAACAAUACGCUAGUUAAUAGUUAGCUACCAUAAUAGCUUAUCUAGUUAGCAUAACUACCCAGUACAAUGAACAGCUAAUAAUGAUGUGACCUGUACGUGUGCAUUUAUUGUUUUGGCAAAUAUUGUUAAUCACCGUCGUCACAUUUCGUCUUGACAUCUGGUGAAGAGGGCAAAAAAGUAUUGGGCUGAGUGCAAGCAGCUACAUUUAGAACAAGACGAGGGAAAACUCACUGUAACACUAUGCUAGGUCCGACAAGUUUUUCAUAUCGAGUAGACAUCUGUAAAUAAGGCGUGUGUUGGUUUAAUGUAGCGAUUGUUUUAGGAUGGGGCUCCGUUUAAGUCAUUAAAUCUGCACGCACAUAACCGUGUUGCCCUGGCUGGUCGUAAUGGUUCAAAGCGCCUAGUUCUACGUGCAACUUUGAAGUUGCAAUUCAUCCUCCUGUCACUUUCGAGCAGCUACUGGUAAAAUUUGCUGAACCCUCGCUCUCGUACCCGAAACAGCAUCAUCACCAGUGUUGGGCAGUAAUGCAUUACAAAAGUAAUUAAUUGCCUCUACUGUAAUGCAUUACAGGGCAAAAAUAUGUAAUAUUAACUUAGUUACAAUGCUUACAAGUUACAUUUCAGUGUGGUGGGUCAGAAAUAAGCUACUGUAUUCCUGAACCUGGUAGUUUUAGUUUGCAUGCUGCCAAAACACCUCUUGGGUGGGAGGUAAAAGUCAUGACUCAUGCAAAAGUAGUGUAAUGCCUUAUAUUUUAAAUAUAGUAAUGAUUUAGUGUAAGGGAUUAUUUUGAAAAGGCAGUAACAUGACAUGUAAGCUUAAUCAGUAGUAACUUGCCCAACACUGAUCAUCACCCAUACGACAUGCAUUUCAUUUUAUUAUAACCAGGGUGCGAUUUGUAGUCAGGGAUUGUCCUCCCUUGUGGUCUUGAUAUCGCCACUUUUUCUGCAUGAUUUUAUCAGUUCAAUGUAAUUCCAUUGAUAUCGCUUACAAUCUGAAACAUAUUCCCCCUUCUGGUUUUCCAGAUCACAAAUCGCACCCUGAUUAUAACCAUUGCAUUACUCUGGUUAUACAGUAGCCCACUACUUUUCAUUACAUGUAAUGAUGUAGAGAUCUAGAGCUAAUAUAAUGCUUCUCCCAGUAGGCCUAGUGGAUCCACACCGUGACCUAAGUGCACUGGACCCUGUUGAUAUGCAGCCACCUCAGCUUCAUGAAGAAACGGCAAGAUUCAGAUGACUACACCGUUUCAGAUCUACUCAUCUCGCUCACCUGUCCACCUGGAUGAAGGAUCACACUCUGCAGCUGAACAUGUCCAAAACCAAGCUCCCAAUCAAAUUGUUCUAGGUUAAUCUCUAACAACAACCUUUUUCUUCCUGCAUUGUGCCUUGCUGAUUUUGUUUGUUUGCACAUGUGACUGAGGUAGCCUGGUUUUACCAGACCACAUUAAUUGCUUCGUAAGUAAUUUUAGGUCUGGAUCCUUCGUGUCCUCCUUGAGCACCAGGGCGGGAGAAGUGAGCUCAGCUCUGAUUUGAAAUGAGCUCUGUCCAAUCGCUGACAAUUGACGUAUGUUAUUCUGCCAAGUGCAUUCACGCCGGUUGUCAGUGUUGCCAGAUGUACGAUAAUUUAUACCAUAAUUUUGUUCUUCCGCCGGUCAGGUAGCGUAUGUCACACUUAGUAUACAAAGCUUGACAUGGUACCAUUAAAGUCCCAAGAUGGAGCAAACAACACAGGUGUUGACAUUAUAUAGCAUGGGCAACUUAUGAUGAGGAGGGCCAUGUUUUUUUCAGCACCAGCAUCAGGGGUUCACAUGACCACAGAUCUGACUCCAAUUUACAGAGUUGGUUGUUCUCUAACUGUCCAUAUUGUUUGGAAGGAAUAUAAUACUCUACCUGUAUACUCAAUACUCUAUUGGGCAGUCAUGGGUAAGCAGUUAGGGUGUCAGACUUGUAGCCCAAAAGUUGCCGGUUCAACUCCCGACCCGCCAGGUUGGUGGGGGGAGUAAUAAACCAGUGCUUGCCCCCAUCCUCCUCCAUGACUGAGUUACCCUGAGCAUGGUACCGUCCCGCCUUGCUUCUUUGGGGCACCAUUGAGGGCUGCCCCCUUGCACGGAUGAGACAUGAAUGCACUUUCGUAGUGUGCAGUGUUCACUUGCUUGCUGUGUCACAAUGACAAUGUGAGUUGGAGUUUCCCAAUUGGGCUUUCACUUUCACGCUUUCACACUAUUGGCCCACAGUAUAAUUACAACAUAUUGAUUCAGUAAUCGUGUUUAAAAAAUAUGGUCAUUAUUUUCUUAAUUAGGCCUACUGUUUUAUCUAUAGGGCGCAUUGAGUGAGGAGGCGGGCUGCAUUUGGCCCCCGGGCAUCCAUUUGCCCAUCCCUGUUGUAGAGUGAACUACACAGUGAUUGCUGUCUAUAGCAGUGGUUCUUAACCUGGGGUUAGUGUUGAGGUUGUGGCCAAAAUUCUGUUUGAGAACAUUAAAAUUAGGCCAAAUCAGAACCAAAUUAAAAAAUGAUGGUCCCCAUUUAAAGCCAUAAAGAUUUUGAUUGAUGUCUCUUUGUAAUUAUAAAGGAUGAUAUUAAUCACCUGAAUCAUUUUAGCCUAUUGUUGGACAUUGCAGCCUAAAGGUUGUCGGUUCGACUCCCGACCCACCAGGUUGGUGGGGGCAGUCAUCAAGCAGUGUUCUCCUCCAUGACUGAAGUAUCCUCAGCAUAGUACCGCCCCGCCGCACUCCUCCCUUUCCGGCGCCUUUGUGAUUUGCCCCCUGGCAUGGAUGGGGCAUAAAAUUGAUUGCUUUGUGUGCCGUGGAAUGCUGUGUCACAAUGACACUGGAAGUUGAAGUUACCCAAUUGUGCUUUCACUGGGUUAUUUAAUGGAAGGUACCGUCAUCUAUUACCUAUUAGAAGUAGAAUUUUCCAUAAUUUGGUAUGUUUUUUUUUUACUGAUGGUCUUGGAUAGUAAUUAGAACUGUUUUUUUGCAGCAACUGGAUAGCUACAAAUCCAUCCAAGUUUUGAAAUUGAAAGGGUGCCCUCCCCUUUCCACAUUUUAUUAAAACUGUUAACCUACUGUUAAAGGAGCCGUCCUGCCAAUUUCAAUAUGCUGUUGUAUUAUUGCUCACACUACCCUUGACUUGUUAGUACAUUGCAUUUUUCGGCUCAGCCCUUUCCGAGAUCUGGGCUAUUCUAAUGGGGGCAGAUUUUGUUUACAUUAAAAACUAUCUACUCCAAAUAUUGAUGCAUAACCUUUUGGAUGAUUUUGGGGGGUAAAAAGCUCAGGUACUGACAAGUCCAGGGUAGUGUGUGAGCAUGACGACUGCAUGUUGAAAUUGGCUGAGCCUUUUAGGAAGCCGGUUGCAUGUAUGUUGGAAACAAUAUUUGACAGCGUCUUAGGUUGGAAACAAUAUUUGACAGCGUCUUAUACUGCAGCGUCUUAUCUCUACUACAAAUUAUGAUGUAAAUGUGGAUUUAUUUUUUAUGACAUGAAUACCAGGCUCUACUGUAUUUGAAGAAACUGACAAUAAAGCUGCCACUUGUUAA